GGUCAAGCUACAAAGGGCGCAUGGUGAAUGCCUUGGCAUCAGGAGCCGAUGAAGGACGCGAUAAGCUGCGAUAAGCUUCGGGUAGACGCACAUAGUCAGAGAUCCGAAGAUUUCCGAAUGAGGAAACUCACAUGGGAAACCCCAUGUAUCAUAAAGUGAAUACAUAGCUUUAUGAAGGUAAACCCAGGGAACUGAAACAUCUAAGUACCUGGAGGAAGAGAAAGAAAAAUCGAUUUUCUUAGUAGCGGCGAGCGAAAAGGAAAGAGCCCAAACCAGAGAUUUAUCUCUGGGGUUGCGGACAGAACAUAACGAGAAAUUAUGGUUAACCGAACACAACUGGAAAGUUGGACCGCAGGGGGUAAUAGUCCCGUAAGUGAAAAUUAUGAUAAUCAGUUCUGCACCAGAGUACCACGAGACACGUGAAACCUUGUGGGAAGCAGGGAGGACCACCUCCCAAGGCUAAAUACUACCUGAUGACCGAUAGUGAAGCAGUACCGUGAGGGAAAGGUGAAAAGAACCCCGGGAGGGGAGUGAAAUAGAACCUGAAACCAUGUGCCUACAACCGAUCAAAGCACCUUAUGUGUGUGAUGAUGUGCUUUUUGUAGAACGAGCCAACGAGUUACGGUAUGUAGCGAGGUUAAGUACUUAAGGUACGGAGCCGAAGGGAAACCGAGUCUUAAUAGGGCGACUAGUUGCAUGCUGUAGACCCGAAACCGGGUGACCUAUCCAUGGCCAGGUUGAAGCGAGGGUAAAACCUCGUGGAGGACCGAACCACGUUGCUGUUGAAAAAGCAUGGGAUGAGCUGUGGAUAGCGGAGAAAUUCCAAUCGAACUCGGAUAUAGCUGGUUCUCCUCGAAAUAGCUUUAGGGCUAGCGUCGGAAAAUGUGAGUAGUGGAGGUAGAGCACUGAAUAGGAUAGGGGGCAUAGCGCUUACCGAACCUUAUCAAACUCCGAAUGCCAUAUACUAUCAGUCCGGCAGUCAGACUAUGAAAGAUAAGUUCCAUGGUCAAAAGGGAAACAGCCCAGAUCGUCAGCUAAGGUCCCAAAGUGUAAGUUAAGUGGAAAAGGAUGUGGGAUUUCUAAGACAACUAGGAUGUUGGCUUAGAAGCAGCCACUCAUUAAAAGAGUGCGUAAUAGCUCACUAGUCAAGAGAUCCUGCGCCGAAAAUGUCCGGGGCUCAAACUUACCACCGAAGCUACGGGUUCACAAUUUAUUGUGAGCGGUAGAGGAGCGUCGUAAUCGGGCUGAAGUCGUACCGAAAGGAGCGGUGGACUGAUUACGAGUGAGAAUGUUUGGCAUUAGUAGCGAGAUGUAGGUGAGAAUCCUACAGGCCGAAUAUCUAAGGUUUCCUGAGUAAAGUUUGUCUUCUCAGGGUUAGUCGGGACCUAAGGCGAGGCCGAAAGGCGUAGUCGAUGGACAAUUGGUUGAUAUUCCAAUACCACUAUAAUCGUUAUUAUCGAUGGUGUGACGGAGAAGGAUAGGAUGUGCUAACUAUUGGAUGUUAGUCUAAGCGUUUAGGGAGUUAGGAUAGGCAAAUCCGUUCUAACAAUUCUGAGGCGUGAUGGGGAAGGUUCCACGGAACCGAAGUAUCUGAUUCCAUGCUUCCAAGAAAAGCAUCUAGAGAGAGAAGUAGUGCCCGUACCGCAAACCGACACAGGUAGAUGAGGAGAGAAUCCUAAGGCCGACGGAAGAAUUGCAGUUAAGGAACUAGCAAAUUGACCC
rnacentral:rRNA from 1 species